AUUGAAUACUAUAAAAUAGAUAAAGAUUGAUUUUAUGUAAAAGAAAUAACAAAACCCUAGAAUAGAGGCUUUAAAUGUUGUUUCUUUAUUCUUUACAGAGAAACGCAAUUUCGCCUUUAUUUCAUGCACCAUAGUGUGUCACUAUUAUAAAACAACAUUUUCUGCAAAUAUUUCAAGAAAUAUGGAAAAGUUAAGAUUUGAUUUUGCUGUAAAACCUGCGGCAGAUGGAAAAUCAAACGUUUUGUGUAUAACAUCAAUCGCUACACCCGGUGGGCAGAUUUUUGGAUUACCACCGGAACACCAGCCUGUGCAAAUGCAUCCAGCUAUAAUAAAUACUUCCAACUUUGCGAAAAUACGGAAAUCGUUAACUAAAAGGCAUCAAACAAGAAAAAUUUGGAUAACUUUGACAGAAGAGAUAUCAAAAGUAUACUUGGAUGAGGAGAAAAACAUACAGUGUAAUGAUAUUUAUUUGGAAGAAAUUUCAGAAACAAAUGUUGAAUCUAUGCCAAGCGGUUCAAAUGAAACAUUGGAAAAAAUUUUAGAAAAAUUGCUUGACGAAAAACAGAAGAAGUCUGAAACACAAAAUUUAGGGAAAAUUGCAAAGGAUUUCAUGAUUAACAAAUUUUCCGGGCGAAACUCAAAUGCUUACCAGUGGAUACAAGAUUUUAACAAAGAAUGUGAACGUUUCCAAAUUGUUGAAGAUAGGAAAAAAAUUGAAAUUCUAAAAAACUUCUUGGAGUACUCCAGUGUUGAUUGGUACAGUUGUAUGCUAUUGAAAUUUACUGUAGAAUCUGAGUGGAGUAAAUGGGAGAAAAACUUCUGUGAGACGUUUGCAAACAAAGGAUGGUCACCCAUUAGAUAUGCUCUUACCUUUAAAUAUCAGGCAGGUUCGUUACUUGAGUAUGCCUUAAAGAAAGAAAAACUGUUACUGGAAAUAAGAAAAUCAACCGAUACUGGAACACUGAUCGACCUUAUAGCACUUGGUCUGCCUAAUUAUGUAGCGGAUAAAAUUGAUCGUGAAACUUUGCAACAGACGGAGGACUUAUAUAAUGAACUAGGAAAAUUGGAACACAUGGUUGGAAAGAAUAAAUAUGAUAAAAAAAAUCCUACAUCUCCAGAUAUGAAAUCCAAGAAAGUUGAAGAAAAAAAGCCAUGCCAAGUUUGUAUAACUGAAAACAAAGGGACACGCUACCAUCCCGAAGAUAAAUGCUGGUUUAAAGGGAAAAAUCAAAAAGCAAUUGUGAAAAGUGUGAAUAACUCAGAAUUGGAAGUUGAGCUGAAUGAGCAGAAUCCAAAAAACUAGAAGUACCACCAUUAAUAAAAGUAAAGUUGCUGUUAAAUGAUACAUUAAAAGUGUCUGGGAUUUAUGACCCAGGUUCGAAUGUGUCAUUGAUAAAUUCUAAAUUAUUAAAGAUAAAAGAUAAAGAAAAGACAACUGAUAUAGAAACAGCAAACUUGAAUACUAUUAAUGGUGCGAAGAAAACAAAAGGUAUAAUAACACUCAAAAUAAAAAUAUAUAAAAUUGAGUCAAAUAUGGAUAUUUUCGUCAUAGAAAAUCUUCCUUAUGAUUUUCUAAUAGGUUUGGAUUGUAUAAAAAAAUUCAAAUUAAUGCAAGAUGAUGAAUUGAACAUUUUACAAUAUAAUAGUCCAGAAGAUAAAAAGAAGUUCCUGAAUGGAGAGAAUAUAGAAAAAGAAGAGUUGAUAAGUAAUUCUUCAAAUGUAUCUAACGUCAAUAUUCCUGAUGUACUGGGUGACGAAGAUGACGAUAUUACUUGUACGGAGAUAUUACUAAAUAAAGAGAUUAAAAGCAGAUAUGAAAUAAAUUUUAACGAACAUAUUAAUUCAGAUGAAUUUGAAAUGUCAGUAAACCAUCUAGAUUCAUAUCAACAAAGAGAGAUUGACAAGUUAAUUGAAAAAUAUAAAUCAGUCUUUGCUAAGGAUAAAUAUGACAUUGGCACUGUACGUGAUUAUGAAGCUCAUAUAGACUUGAUGGUGGACAAGUACUGUAGCAAACGUCCAUAUAGAUGCAACACAGAAGAUAGAAAAGAAAUAGAAGGACAAAUAUCGAAACUACUAAAGAACAAAUUAAUUGAAGAAUCUUAUAGCCCGUUUGCUGCUCCGGUGACUUUGGCAUAUAAAAAAGAAGAUGGAAAACGAACAAGGUUAUGCAUAGAUUUUAGAGAGUUAAACAAAAUCGUCGUUCCACAGUCACAACCAUUCCCGCUGAUUGAGGAUUUAAUGGUAAAAACUGUAAACUGUAAGUACUUUUCUACUUUCGACGUAAAUUCCGCUUUUUGGUCAAUACCUUUGAAAAUUCAAGAUAGAUACAAAACUGCAUUUGUUACCCAAGAAGGCCAUUUUCAAUGGACGUGCCUUCCGUUUGGUUUAAAGACUGCUUCAGCAAUUUUCCAAAGAAUAUUGAGCAAUAUCAUUAGAAAACAUAAGCUUUCUGAUUUUGCGGUAAAUUUUAUAGAUGACAUCUUAAUUUUUUCGAAAACUUUCAAUGAACACAUACAACAUAUAUCUAGACUACUCGAGGCAAUACUAAGAGAAGGGUUUAGACUUAAGUUCUCUAAAUGUAGUUUUGCAAACAACCAUGCUAAAUAUCUCGGUCAUAUAAUCGAGAACAAUUCAGUCAGACCACUUAAAGACUACUUAACCGCAGUGAGGGAUUUUCCAGUUCCGAAAACAAGAAAAAAUAUACGCCAAUUUCUAGGAAAAGUUAAUUUUCAUCAUAAAUUUAUACCACAUAGCGCAAUUAUUCUGGAUCCGUUACACAAUUUACUACGAAAAGAUGUGAAAUUUAUAUGGUCGCCAGCAUGCCAAGAAUCUUUUGAAAAAAUAAAAAGUAUGCUAUGUUCAAAACCGAUUCUGAAGAUAUUUGAUCCUGAACUGCCAAUGAAUAUAUACACAGAUGCUAGUAUCGACGGAGUUGGAGCGGUUUUGAAACAAGUAGAUAAAAACGGAGACAGUAAGCCCGUGGCAUACUUCUCGAAGAAACUAACUGAGACUCAAAAAAGGAAAAAGGCCAUAUAUCUAGAAUGUCUUGCAAUAAAAGAAGCUGUUAAGUAUUGGCAGCACUGGCUUAUGGGAAAAGAAUUUGUGGUAUACUCCGAUCAUAAACCAUUGGAAAAUAUGAACAUCAAGGCUAGAACUGAUGAGGAACUUGGUGAUUUGACUUAUUAUCUUUCCCAAUAUAAUUUUCAAAUAAAAUACAAUCCUGGACAAUCUAAUCAGGAGGCAGACUGCUUAAGCAGAAAUCCAGUACUAGAAACAUAUGAAAAUAAUGAUGACUUUUUGAAAGUAGUAAAUUUAAUAACACUAGAAGAUAUAAAAAAUGAUCAAUAUAAAAAUCAAGACCUACAAAAUGGAAAAACAAACGCGAUAUUGGAAAACACAAUUUAUUACAAAAAGAACAAAAAUAGAAAUAAAAUCAUACUAUCUGAAGCACUUAGCAAAGCUCUCAUCAAAGAUGUUCACAAUACUUACUGCCACAUUGGAAGAAGCCAGAUGAUAUAUAAAAUAACACCAUUUUAUACAGCGAGAAAUAUAUUCACAAAUAUUAAAAAAAUGUGUGAUGAAUGUGAAAUAUGUAUAAAGAACAAAUCAAGGAGAAAGUCAAAAUAUGGCUUAUUGUCACAUUUGGGUCCAGCAACACGCCCGUUUGAAAUAGUAUCUAUUGAUACCAUUGGAGGCUUUGGAGGAUCACGGUCAACAAAAAAAUAUUUACAUCUUCUAGUUGAUCAUUUCACGAGAUAUGCAUAUAUUUUGACAUCAAAAAAUCAAAACUCUAGUGAUUUUAUUAAACUGAUAACUUAUGUGACGCAGAGUUAUAAUAUUGAUAUGGUAUUAACAGAUCAAUACCCCGGCAUAAAUUCUAAAGAAUUUAAAGAUUACCUAAAGAGCAAAUAUAUAAAAAUGGUUUUUACGGCUGUAGAUGCGCCAUUCUCUAAUGGUCUUAAUGAAAGGCUAAAUCAAACUUUAGUCAAUAAAAUAAGAUGUACAAUUAAUGAAAAUGAUAAGAAAACAGCCUGGACAACUACUGCACAGAAAUGUGUAGAAAAAUAUAAUGAAACAGAACACACUGUCACGAAAUUUACUCCAAAAUACCUUUUGGAAGGUGAAAACGUAAAUAUUUUACCAUUAGAAUUAAAAUCAAAAUGUUCAAAAGAAGACCUGAAAAGAGACAGAAAAUUAGCCUACGAAAACACAAUAAGAUCUCACAAAUAUAAUAAAGAACAAUUUGAUCGGCAUAGAAAAGAACACACUUUUGAAAUGGGAGACAUGGUCUAUGUAGAAAAUGGGAAUAGACUGAAUAGGAAGAAGAUGGAUGAAUUAAGAAUUGGACCAUUUAAGAUUCUAAGAAAAAUAUCAAGCUCCAUCUAUGAAGUUGAUGCAGGACACAAGAAAC